rnacentral:rRNA from 1 species
GAUGAACGCUGGCGGCGUGCUUAACACAUGCAAGUCGAACGGAAAGGCCUCUGCUUGCAGGGGUACUCGAGUGGCGAACGGGUGAGUAACACGUGGGUGAUCUGCCCUGCACUUCGGGAUAAGCCUGGGAAACUGGGUCUAAUACCGGAUAGGACAAUGGUUUGGAUGCUGUUGUGGAAAGUUUUUCGGUGUGGGAUGAGCUCGCGGCCUAUCAGCUUGUUGGUGGGGUAAUGGCCUACCAAGGCGUCGACGGGUAGCCGGCCUGAGAGGGUGUACGGCCACAUUGGGACUGAGAUACGGCCCAGACUCCUACGGGAGGCAGCAGUGGGGAAUAUUGCACAAUGGGCGCAAGCCUGAUGCAGCGACGCCGCGUGGGGGAUGACGGCCUUCGGGUUGUAAACUCCUUUCGCUAGGGACGAAGCGUUUUUGUGACGGUACCUGGAGAAGAAGCACCUGCUAACUACGUG